GCAGUCGUGGCCGAGUGGCUAAGGUGAUGGACUAGAAAUCCAUUGGGGUCUCCCCGCACAGGUUCGAAUCCUGUCGACUUCG
rnacentral:tRNA from 1 species